rnacentral:rRNA from 1 species
UGGGGAAUAUUGCACAAUGGGGGAAACCCUGAUGCAGCGACGCCGCGUGAACGAAGAAGGUAUUCGUAUCGUAAAGUUCUGUCCUAUGGGAGGAUAAUGACAGUACCAUAGAAGAAAGCUCCGGCUAAAUACGUGCCAGCAGCCGCGGUAAUACGUAUGGAGCGAGCGUUGUCCGGAAUUAUUGGGCGUAAAGGGUACGCAGGCGGUUUAAUAAGUCGAAUGUUAAAGAUCGGGGCUCAACCCCGCAAAGCAUUGGAAACUGAUAAACUUGAGUAGUGGAGAGGAAAGUGGAAUUCCUAGUGUAGUGGUGAAAUACGUAGAUAUUAGGAGGAAUACCAGUAGCGAAGGCGACUUUCUGGACACAAACUGACGCUGAGGUACGAAAGCGUGGGGAGCAAACAGG